rnacentral:rRNA from 1 species
GAACGAGAAAGUGGAGCAAUCCAUGAGUAAAGUGGCGACCGGGUGAGUAACACGUGACUAACCUACCUCCGAGUGGGGAAUAACUCCGGGAAACCGGGGCUAAUACCGCAUAACAUCGCAAGAUCAAAGCAGCAAUGCGCUUGGAGAGGGGGUCGCGGCUGAUUAGCUAGUUGGCGGGGUAACGGCCCACCAAGGCGAAGACGGGUAGCUGGUCUGAGAGGAUGAUCAGCCACACUGGAACUGAGACACGGUCCAGACUCCUACGGGAGGCAGCAGUGGGGAAUAUUGGGCAAUGGGCGCAAGCCUGACCCAGCCAUGCCGCGUGAGUGAUGAAGGCCUUCGGGUCGUAAAGCUCU